rnacentral:snRNA from 1 species
CAUCACAGAACUCAGUUCAUAACGAUUUAAUUUUUCGCCUUUUACUAAAGAUUACCGUGGACUGGGUUUAUAAAUGUGAAUAUUACAAAUUUUUGUAGGAAUCUUUUUAGAUUCC